CCAACCCCCCCCCCAACCAGAACAACCAUAAUUUCUUUAUCAGCAGAAUUUGACAGCUGCCUCUCCUCCCGGACAGACCCACUUGCCAUCGAAGUUGUGAAAGAGAAGCAGCUAAAGCCACCUGUCUCUAGAAUUGAGAUUCUGGAAGCUGUGGGGGACAAGGAUUAGUUAGCAAAUGGAAUGGGCUGAGAGGCAGGAGAUGCAGAUGGGCCAGAAGUGGCAGUGGUGGCUGCUUGCCCUGUCCUUAGACUCCUGGAGCCAUGGAAGGCAUUGGGGAGAAGACACAGAAGGCCCCAUCCUGGGUUCAGGGACACCAGGGAAAGAGGCCUACUCCUCUGUAGCGCUCCAGCUGUGUGUACAAGGGAAGCACACAGUGCUCUAGUGACCUUGCUGUGGUCAUGACAGCCUGGGGCAUAUGGCCAUGCGAGCUUAUUGUCAAUAUCACUUCUACUCAGAAAUAGGAUUGGAGGCAGCAAUUAAAGGUUUCCAAGACCCUUGAGUGUCGUUAGGGGCUUGUCACUGCUUUUCUCCAGCUCCAGGAUGAAUGGUUCCCAAUUGUCUCCUAUCAAAUUAAAACUCCUUAUCAUAGGCUGUAGCAUCCUCUGCUAAUUGGCUCCUGCUUACCUAAUUCAUCUUUUAUUCCAGAGCACCUUGUCCCCUCGCCUGAGAGAGCGGUCUCGAAAGCCUUCUAAUUGCCAGCCCUCUUCAAAUCAAUUCUAUUCAACAGAUGUGCCUUGGAUUUCCUCUGCAGAGUCGGGGCCUGAUAGAAGGGGAAGUGGUUAGGUAAACGAGUCAGAUGUCACAGGCAUUAUAACACAAGACACUUUCACAGGAAGGAGACAGAAGACCCGAAUCUGAGUCUCAGACUGUCUUUAGAAGCUGAACCCUGAGUUUUUGUUCAGGAAGCUUGGAGGUCAUGCUGUAGAGUUGCUUUAAGAAUUCAAGGAGAUUAAAUCUAUUAGGCCUUCCUGGAGGAGAAGGGACUUGAGUGGAAUUUUCCUGCUUCAGUGGACAUGGGAGAAAAGGACAGGCUGAGUGCAUGCAGCUACAUGCUGAACCAAGGAGGUAGAAAACAGAAAGCUCCUCAGAGCCAUUAGAAGCCUAUCUGUACUACCGUCUCCUGUAACUGUAGCUACGUUAUCAGGAAGAGGACUUGGUGACUUGUGACAUCAAAGUACCGCUGACACGAGAUGGGUCAAAGGGUGAAAUGUUUUAGCCAUAUGUCUGUGGCUUUUGCUAGAAGGCUUAUUAAUUCCCUGCUGCUAAGAGCGGAUUAGACCAUCUGUCAGGGCUGCUCACCUGAUAGAGAAGACGCUAACAAUAGCAAGGAACACUCUUGAUCGGCCUGCUACUACUCUCCGGACACUGGACCCAAUUCCAGACCCAAAUUCUCGAUUUCAUUUACCCUGAAGGUUUGGUGUUCCCAUUGUUACCAAGUCACAGGUGUGAGAAUGAGGCUCGCAGCGUCUGGAGGACAAGUUCAAGGUCAGAGAACCUACCUCUGACCCAACAUUCGGUGUUCCCAGCAAUUUACUUUGAACUUUUCACUGAAGGAUAUUUUUACUUUUCCUUGUUUUAAAAAAAAUAAAGCACAAUAAAUGAAAAAGUUACCAUAA